rnacentral:misc_RNA from 1 species
AACAUCGCGCACCUGCGGGAACCUGCGGAGGGAUCAUUACCACGCGAUCCAAAACGCUCACUCCACUGUGCUGUCAAAAGCGCACUGUAACAAACCCCCAUUUCUUGGGUGUGGCCUCGCGCCGCACUCGAUGUCGUGCUCCUUGGUUUUUUCAAGGUCAGAGGUUGCAUCAUCUUCAUGGUGCGCCUCUGUGGAGCCCUCAUCCCGGCUGCCAACGCGGUCGGAAGAAAGCAAUCCUUG